UACGUAGGGGGCAAGCGUUGUCCGGAAUCAUUGGGCGUAAAGAGCGUGUAGGCGGCCAGAUAAGUCCGCUGUGAAAAUCUCGAGGCUCAACUUCGAGCUGUCGGUGGAAACUGUCUGGCUAGAGUCCGGAAGAGGAGAAUGGAAUUCCUGGUGUAGCGGUGAAAUGCGCAGAUAUCAGGAGGAACACCGGUGGCGAAGGCGGUGCUCUGGGCCAGAACUGACGCUGAAUAGCGAAAGCGUGGGUAGCGAACAGG
rnacentral:rRNA from 1 species